UCUCCGUUGGUGAACCAGCGGAGGGAUCAUUACCGAGUUUACAACUCCCAAACCCCUGUGAACAUACCUUACUGUUGCCUCGGCGGAUCAGCCCGCGCCCCGUAAAACGGGACGGCCCGCCAGAGGACCCAAACUCUAAUGUUUCUUAUUGUAACUUCUGAGUAAAACAAACAAAUAAAUCAAAACUUUCAACAGCGGAUCUCUUGGUUCUG
rnacentral:misc_RNA from 1 species